rnacentral:miRNA from 1 species
ACUAAAUUAUUCCCUUUUAGGAUACGCCAGUUUUGAAUUUAUAAACAACAAGUUGAUUCAGUACAAACUGCAAACAUGUCAGAAGAAGAUCAACUUGUUGUUUAUAAAUAUAAAACUGGCGCAUCCUAAAAGGGAAUAAUUUGUAGUGUAUGC